rnacentral:misc_RNA from 1 species
GUCAGUGCUCUCUGCUGGAGUAGUAUUACAUGGACCAUCAAAUGUGCUCCAGAAGACGCUUAAAACAACAAAAAAUGGGUCCCAUAGCAUAAACCAUUGAAUAUGGCUACAGCCUACGCAUCUUGGGUGUCAAGGAUAACAGAAUCUUGAACAGGGAACACUAAUUACAGGAAAAGGCCCUGGCGUUGCUUGAUCUUUCCUUUCUCUUCUCCUUGCGUUUUCGAAUUUAGCUCCAUCAUUCCAGGUUGGCGGCUUUAGAAUGAGACAGAUACACCUCCUUCAGCCUUCAAAGCUUCAAGCAACUGAGAUGCUUACGAAACCAGGAAUCGAAUUUAUUUUCUGGUAUAAAACAUCUCGUCACCGGGACAUGUGCAGCUGAAGGAACAAAAGAAGAUAAAGAACCCGAGAUCAGUUAUCAGGCACAGCACCG